rnacentral:rRNA from 1 species
UGGGGAAUAUUGGGCAAUGGGCGCAAGCCUGACCCAGCAACGCCGCGUGAAGGAAGAAGGCUUUCGGGUUGUAAACUUCUUUUAUCAGGGACGAAGCAAGUGACGGUACCUGAUGAAUAAGCCACGGCUAACUACGUGCCAGCAGCCGCGGUAAUACGUAGGUGGCGAGCGUUAUCCGGAUUUACUGGGUGUAAAGGGCGUGUAGGCGGGCUUGCAAGUCAGAUGUGAAAUUCCAGGGCUCAACCCUGGAACUGCAUUUGAAACUGUAGGUCUUGAGUGCUGGAGAGGCAAUCGGAAUUCCGUGUGUAGCGGUGAAAUGCGUAGAUAUACGGAGGAACACCAGUGGCGAAGGCGGAUUGCUGGACAGUAACUGACGCUGAGGCGCGAAAAGCGUGGGGAGCAAACAGGAUUAGAUACCC